AUGCUUACCUGGCAGGGGAGAUGGCAUGGUCACGCAGGUGGUUCACCCAGGGUGAGGCCCAGCCAUUGCACUGCGGCUGUGCUGACCCCUGCAAAUUCCCCAAAUGUGGGAAUCUCCACUGCGCAAUUUCUGGUAGUAAGGGACUGUGUUUGUGCUCUCACCUG